rnacentral:lncRNA from 1 species
CAUGGCCCGGCCCCACCGCCCGGUCAGCGGUCCCCGAGGCUCCGGGGCCACCUCCCGCCGCCGCCGCGGGCCAUGGAGCCGAGCCGCCCCGGGAGGCAGGGCGGGGCCCGGCAGACCCACGGACCGGCGGACCGACGGACCACUGCGCUGCCGCCUCCCUCCCGCGCUACGGCUCCUCGGAGGGGCAGGCCAGGCCGGCGCGCCCGCGCGCGCGCCCCCGCGGCCCCCGCCUCCAGUGCGCCCGCACGCGCCGCGCGCCGCUCCGCCGCCCGCCCCUGCCGUUGGCCCUGCGCGGCCCAGCCAGCGGGGAGGUGCGUUUGCGGAUGCCUGAGACCCAGGAAGGACGCAGGAAUCCAUCAGGUUCCUCCAUCAGCUUGCUUUAGGGAUGGGAAGAGACCAGGAGCCGGAUGGCUAAGGCCCUUCAGGGAAAGCAUAGGCAUUUCAAUGGAUACCCGUCCCCGCUGGUUUUCCCUUACCUCAGCCAUGUUGCUGAUGACAAUUGCCAUGAUGAUGCCAUAGAUGGCCACCGCUUCACAGAAGAUAAUACUGGCAACAGUGAUGGUAAAUGGUGGGGGAGGGGGAGGGAAACUCUUUAAGAAGGAAAUCAGCCAUUUCUGCAGAAAAUCCCCAGCCAACUUUCCCUGACUCACAUACACGCUACGAUGAGACGGGUCACAAGCCAGCAUGUCACCCGACCCCCAUCGCAGCUAGUUUUGACAUGCAGAAGCCUUUACACUUACCUAACCAAGUUCUUGGUUUUGAUUCUGGGGGCUUUCACCCCACCCCCAAUAAUGGAUGAGCCGGUUAUAUAGAUUCCCCUGGUGAAGGGUAAGAAACUGAUUAAAGGAGCCCAAGGAGUUGCUGUCCCCAGGAUGAUUAAGAACCCAGUGAUGAUUCCACCUGCCACGACUUGGCACCUCCCACUCGUCCCGCCACUCCAACACUCACCAGGCUGCUCCAACCACAGACAGAGAAAUUGCUAGGCCAAUGCCCAGAUUCGACCACAUGAAGGGGGAAGUUUCCGUCAGGAACCUGGUGUGGAAACAGGGAAGAAAGCUAUUGAGCUAUGGACAGGAAAGGGCAGGAGUGGGGAGGCCACACAAAACUCAGUGUCCACCCAGCUCCAGCCCACCAGUCCCAGACGUUGCAUCUCUAGAUUUUCUAUUUCCCAAAGGUCCGUGUGUCUGAAGAGCUGGGCUGGGGCUCAGACCAAAGCAGGGAGAAGAGGCUCCUAGGAGAAUCCUCUCCAUGCCCUCCCUUACCAUGCCACAUCAAAGCGAAAGCCCAGGUCAAAGAUGGUGUAGCAGAUUCCUGAAGCAAUGAGGAAAGGAGUUAAAGGGUUGCUCUUUCGAGACACAGUCCCCAACCUAGGAAAAAAAAAAAACUGCCCAACUGUCAAACUGUCAGCCACCUACAUCUAGACAAGCGAAGAGUCCCGGAGCGAAACAGCACCUCCACCCAGGCCUCCAUUUUUUUUUUUUUUUCGGCCACUCCCUAGGUAACCCGUCUUAAUGACACCAAGCCCCUUCACGGGCCGGAGGGAACGGGCGCUGCGUCCAGGCCGCGCCAGAUCCUGCCGGCCCAAUCGCUGUUUACCCAACAAGCUGUGAAUGGGUGGGGGAGGGCAAGGAGGAAAAAGGGGAAGCGGGGCGCCCAAAUAUGCGGCUCGCGGAGAGGAGGUCAGGAACCUGGCGUCGCGACCCUGGAAUAGCCGGUGUGACUCUCGCAGCCCAGGGCCGGCCUCCUCCGUCGCGGGAGGGCACCGCGCGGGGCCGGCUCCGGCUGCCACCUGCCCCCCGCCCCAACCAGCAGGCCACCUUGGGCCGCCUGGGCCCCGCUCACCCACAACGACCAUGCAGGCCCAGAAGGCCACAAAGAUCCCGAGGUAGAGCAACUCCAGCCCCGUCAUGGCAGCGGCGACGGCAGGGGUCGGAUCGGUGGGACCUGAGCUAAACCGCGUCCACCGUCCGCCCCGCAGUCUGUCGGCCCGCCCCGCAGCGCCACCUGACCGGCGCACGUGAUGCGCCGACCCCACGUGACCCCCGCGCACAGUGGCUGGCUGCCUGAGGCCGGGCCCUGGUAGACGUCAUGCCGCGGAGCACUGUGGUGGUUGUAGUUUCGUCGGACGUUCUCCGUGACAGGUACUGGCUCUCCACCUGCGCUGCUGGUUCCCUAACUUCCCACCGGACUCCCAGUUUACUCACCAAUCACUGCAGAUCCUUCCGGUCUGUUCUAGUCCUGCCUAGUUCCUUCUGCUUGAAGCAGGAUUUCGCGGUGCCUAGCUAAUGCCUGCUGUUCAUCGGAGGUCAUUCUAGGUUGUCUUUUCCAACCCAGAGGUAGGGUGGAAUGCCAGACGCGAACGCCCACGAUGUCCAGGUGAUCUUAUAAGGCCAUGCCAUUCUCCUGUUCAAAUUCCCUGUGGAUCCUAUUUCACUCGCGACAGAAUGAUCCAUAGGAUCCUAAAGUAUGCAAAGCAGGCACUGUAACAGAGCUAAGCUCCAGGUCCCUAAUAGACUACCCACCCUAUCAGACGCAGCCCGCCCUUGCAUCUGCCCCUCUCUCUUGCUUCCAGACUUUGCUCUCCUUCAAGCCCUUCCUUACCCAUUCUGUUUAAUAUUCCAACCCCAAUCUCCCUUUAACCAGUCCCCUUUCUUUUCCAGAUUUGUGUUUUCCCAUAAUUGUUAUCCCUUGAUAUAAUUUUCCUCUGGUUCUUAUCUCUGGUUGAUAUAGUACAUUUUGUUUCUGACCACUCUCCCUAGGGGGCCGAAGCACCAUGGUUCAUGUUGGACUCACUACUGUUUCUAGCGCCUGACAUACAGGGGAGUUCUCAUAACAUGCACACAGAAUACAUGAUGGAUGCUCAUUUUAACCCAGUCCCCAUGUCAGUUACAGCUCUGCCUUUACCAUUAGCCUGUGUACUACAUGAUCUGGAUGGUGCCAAUAUAAGAUUCUUUUGCUAAUGUGGACAAUAAGUAAAUUUUGUUUUCUUCUGGGAUCCAAUACACAAACACACACACACACUGGGAAACCCUAGGACCAACUCUCUGGUUUUUGUUUUGUUUUUUGAGACAGGAUUUCUCUGUAUAGCCCUAGCUGUCCUGGAACUCACUUUGUAGACCAGGUUGGCCUCGAACUCAGAAAUGUGCCUGCCUCUGCCUCCCAAGUGCUGAGAUUAAAGGCGUGCACCACCACUGCCCGGCCCAUAAAACCAACUCUCUACCAAGGACAAGCACUCUAUCAAGAUAUACCCCAACAACUCUACUUUGAUUGAAGCACCCACCAUGUUGACUGAGUCUUUGUUUAGGCCCAAAUGUUCGUUUCACUCUGUUUAUUCUGAAUAUUUUUUCUCUAUAAGAUCCAGCUUAAGACUCCUCUGUCUGGGUUGCCUCUUGAGUCCCCUUCAGGAGCCUGCUAUGAGAGCCAGCUGCACCUGGGGCUCCCUUCACACAAUUAUAUUUCGUGGGGUUAUUAUUUCCUCCCAAGCACAUUUUGAGGACAGUAAUCUGGUUAAAUAUAACUCACAUAUCCACCCACAGGAUCUGUGUAGAACAGAGCUUUAGUGAAUAAAGAGAAACAGGAGAAAAAGUAUUCCGUUUAUUUCAGUGUCUUUGUUGUCCCCAAGAAACAAGUCUAACUAAGUCAAUGUAGCCCAACAAAGUCCUGAAAGCAGCCACAUAAGUGCUUGAAAUGUAAUUAGUGUAAUGGACAAAUACUUUUUCAUCCACUUUAAAUGGCAAAAGUCAUGUGUCCAGUGAAUAUUGUCUUGGACAGUGCAGGUUUAGACCAGAGGCUCUCAAUGAGGAGUAGUUACAUGACAUCUGCCAACCUGUAGAGAUAAUCUGGGUUAUCCUAGCUCAGUUGGGGAGGAAGGGAGGUGUUUCUGUUUCUGUCAGCUGAACCUAUACAUCCUUCUCUAUAUAGAGUAGCCUCUGCAUUAAAGAAUUACUCUGCCCAAACUGUCAACAGUGCUGAGGGAGGUGGAAGAACUCUGGUCUGGAUCAUCCAACUUCUGCCCCUGACCAAGGGCAGAACUCCUGCACACCAGGAACUGGGAUGAGCCCUGGGACCCCUCCCUGCACAGGCUAUAAGCUGGACAGCUCCACAGAGAGAGCUACCUACACUCCCUGUGUCUAGGCAUCAAGUGUCCCUGUGACAGGACGAGACGUUGGUCAGGGAGAACAGGUCCCGGCAGACUUAUCACUCUGGCUCUGGCCUCCCAAGGUAUCAGCUGCUCCCCUCAUCCUCGUAGGCGAUGGCGAUACCUCGUCUUCCUCUGACGGCUUCUUUCACUGGUGUCUGGCCCAAGCGUGGCUCCAGCCCCUGCCAGUUCCGAGAACUAAGGA